GAAUGAAUCUAUGAUAAUAAAGGGAAAGCUUUAUUAGAGGAUAUAAAAGUGGACCCUAGCUAGAAGGUAAAGAGCUUUUACUUCCUUAGCCAAUGGAAAAGAAAAAUAGAAUGAGGUACUAUUUGACAGCUAGCAAAGGUUUAGGAUUAUCUGAGACUUUUUCUUUUGUUUUGUAUUUAUAUGCAUGUCUCGUGCAAGACUAAUUUCUCCGUAGGGUUUUCCUAGUUUUGUAGGAGUUUUAGAGGUCUUUCUAGUCAACUGUAAGUCUCAAACUAGACGCAAGACAGUCUAUAGCUUUACGUAAGAGAUGGUCGAGAUCACCUGCGUAUGUCCUCUAGGAGACGGCUUGGCUGGAAGGUUGUAUGCGGGAAUACGGACUGAUGCUAGAGUGCAAAGUCCAGUACGGUAAGAUACGGGUUAGUCCCAUUGAGAUCGUACAAGGAUAUAGAAAUAUAUGAGAGACUUGCUUUACUUAAAG
rnacentral:misc_RNA from 1 species